AACGCACAAAACUGUGAGUCAGGAGAUGCAAGCCUUCUGAUACCCACUUCCACAAGCAAACUUCCAGUAUUUGUCAAGGGGAAAGAAGCAUCAGUGGAAGGCGUGGGCUCAAGCAGAAGGGAAGCAUCAACGGUCUAAGGAAUGUUCCAACCUCUUUCCAAAGAGGGGCUGCAGCUACUACAAAAAGCCAGCAGCUG